GAUGAAGAACGUAGCGAAAUGCGAUAAGUAAUGUGAAUUGCAGAAUUCAGUGAAUCAUCGAAUCUUUGAACGCACAUUGCGCCCGCCAGUAUUCUGGCGGGCAUGCUUGUUCGAGCGUCAUUUCAACCAUCAAGCCCCAGGCUUGUGUUGGGGACCUGCGGCUGCCGCAGGCCCUGAAAACCAGUGGCGGGCUCGCUGUCACACCGGGCGUAGUAGAUUUUAUCUCGCUCAGGGCGUGCUGCGGGUCCCGGCCGUUAAAAGCCUUUUUUUACCCAAGGUUGACCUCGGAUCAGGUAGGAAGACCCGCUGAACUUAAGCAUAUCAAUAAGCGGAGGA
rnacentral:misc_RNA from 1 species